rnacentral:rRNA from 1 species
AUUGAACGCUGGCGGCAGGCCUAACACAUGCAAGUCGAGCGAGCGGCGGAAGGGUGAGUAAUGUAUGGGGACUGCCCGAUAGAGGGGGAUAACUACUGGCAACGGUAGCUAAUACCCCAUACUAUCGGAUAACCCAUAUGGGAUUAGCUAGUAGGUGAGGUAAUGGCUCACCUAGGCGACGAUCCCUAGCUGGUCUGAGAGGAUGAUCAGCCACACGGCGACUGAGAUACGGCCCAGAUUCCUACGGAGGCAGCAGUGGGGAAUAUGUCACAAUGGGCGCAAGCCUGAUGCAGCCAUGCCGCGUGUAUGAAGAAGGCCCUGGGGUUGUAAAGUACUUUCAGUCGGGAGGCGUUACCGACAGAAGAAGCACCGGCUAACUCCGUGCCAGCAGCCGCGGUAAUAC